rnacentral:rRNA from 1 species
CCUACGGGAGGCAGCAGUGGGGAAUAUUGCGCAAUGGGCGAAAGCCUGACGCAGCGACGCCGCGUGAGGGAUGAAGGUCUUCGGAUCGUAAACCUCUGUCAGCAGGGAAGAACGGUCACUGUGCUAAUCAGCAGUGAAUUGACGGUACCUGCAAAGGAAGCACCGGCUAACUCCGUGCCAGCAGCCGCGGUAAUACGGAGGGUGCGAGCGUUAAUCGGAAUUACUGGGCGUAAAGCGCUCGUAGGCGGUAUGUCAAGUCAAGGGUGAAAUCCCCGCGCUCAACGUCGGAACUGCCUUUGAAACUGGCAAACUAGAGUGUAGGAGAGGAUGGUGGAAUGUAAGGUGUAGGAGUGAAAUGCGUAGAUAUC